rnacentral:rRNA from 1 species
UGGAAAGGCGCGCGAUACAGGGUGACAGCCCCGUACACAAAAAUGCACAUACUGUGAGCUCGAUGAGUAGGGCGGGACACGUGGUAUCCUGUCUGAAUAUGGGGGGACCAUCCUCCAAGGCUAAAUACUCCUGACUGACCGAUAGUGAACCAGUACCGUGAGGGAAAGGCGAAAAGAACCCCGGCGAGGGGAGUGAAAAAGAACCUGAAACCGUGUACGUACAAGCAGUGGGAGCCUCUUUAUGGGGUGACUGCGUACCUUUUGUAUAAUGGGUCAGCGACUUAUAUUCUGUAGCAAGGUUAACCGAAUAGGGGAGCCGAAGGGAAACCGAGUCUUAACUGGGCGUUAAGUUGCAGGGUAUAGACCCGAAACCCGGUGAUCUAGCCAUGGGCAGGUUGAAGGUUGGGUAACACUAACUGGAGGACCGAACCGACUAAUGUUGAAAAAUUAGCGGAUGACUUGUGGCUGGGGGUGAAAGGCCAAUCAAACCGGGAGAUAGCUGGUUCUCCCCGAAAGCUAUUUAGGUAGCGCCUCGUGAAUUCAUCUCCGGGGGUAGAGCACUGUUUCGGCAAGGGGGUCAUCCCGACUUACCAACCCGAUGCAAACUGCGAAUACCGGAGAAUGUUAUCACGGGAGACACACGGCGGGUGCUAACGUCCGUCGUGAAGAGGGAAACAACCCAGACCGCCAGCUAAGGUCCCAAAGUCAUGGUUAAGUGGGAAACGAUGUGGGAAGGCCCAGACAGCCAGGAUGUUGGCUUAGAAGCAGCCAUCAUUUAAAGAAAGCGUAAUAGCUCACUGGUCGAGUCGGCCUGCGCGGAAGAUGUAACGGGGCUAAACCAUGCACCGAAGCUGCGGCAGCGACACUAUGUGUUGUUGGGUAGGGGAGCGUUCUGUAAGCCUGCGAAGGUGGCCUGUGAGGGUUGCUGGAGGUAUCAGAAGUGCGAAUGCUGACAUAAGUAACGAUAAAGCGGGUGAAAAGCCCGCUCGCCGGAAGACCAAGGGUUCCUGUCCAACGUUAAUCGGGGCAGGGUGAGUCGACCCCUAAGGCGAGGCCGAAAGGCGUAGUCGAUGGGAAACAGGUUAAUAUUCCUGUACUUGGUGUUACUGCGAAGGGGGGACGGAGAAGGCUAUGUUGGCCGGGCGACGGUUGUCCCGGUUUAAGCGUGUAGGCUGGUUUUCCAGGCAAAUCCGGAAAAUCAAGGCUGAGGCGUGAUGACGAGGCACUACGGUGCUGAAGCAACAAAUGCCCUGCUUCCAGGAAAAGCCUCUAAGCAUCAGGUAACAUCAAAUCGUACCCCAAACCGACACAGGUGGUCAGGUAGAGAAUACCAAGGCGCUUGAGAGAACUCGGGUGAAGGAACUAGGCAAAAUGGUGCCGUAACUUCGGGAGAAGGCACGC